rnacentral:rRNA from 1 species
AUACGUAGGGGGCGAGCGUUGUCCGGAAUGAUUGGGCGUAAAGGGCGCGUAGGCGGCGCGGUAAGUCUGGAGUGAAAGUCCUGCUUUCAAGGUGGGAAUUGCUUUGGAUACUGCCGCGCUUGAGUGCAGGAGAGGUUAUCGGAAUUCCCGGUGUAGCGAUGAAAUGCGUAGAGAUCGGGAGGAACACCAGUGGCGAAGGCGGGUAACUGGACUGCAACUGGCGCUGAGGCGCGAAAGUGUGGGGAGCAAACAGGAUUAGAUACCCUGGUAGUCCACACUGUAAACGAUGAAUGCUAGGUGUAAGAGGUAUCGACCCCUUUUGUGCCGGAGUCAACACAAUAAGCAUUCCGCCUGGGGAGUACGGCCGCAAGGUUGAAACUCAAAUGAAUUGACGGGG